rnacentral:rRNA from 1 species
GCUGGCGGCGGCUAACACAUGCACGUCGAGCGCACCCUUCGGGGUGAGCGGCGGACGGGUGAGUAACGCGUGGGAACGUACCCUUUGCUACGGAAUAGCCACUGGAAACGGUGAGUAAUACCGUAUGAGCCCUUCGGGGGAAAGAUUUAUCGGCAAGGGAUCGGCCCGCGUUGGAUUAGGUAGUUGGUGGGGUAAUGGCCUACCAAGCCGACGAUCCAUAGCUGGUUUUAGAGGAUGAUCAGCCACACUGGGACUGAGACACGGCCCAGACUCCUACGGGAGGCAGCAGUGGGGAAUCUUAGACAAUGGGCGCAAGCCUGAUCUAGCCAUGCCGCGUGAGUGACGAAGGCCCUAGGGUCGUAAAGCUCUUUCGCCUGUGAUGAUAAUGACAGUAGCAGGUAAAGAAACCCCGGCUAACUCCGUGCCAGCAGCCCGCGGUAAUACGGAGGGGGUUAGCGUUGUUCGCCAUUACUGGGCGUAAAGCGCGCGUACGCCGAUUGGAAAGUUGGAGGUGAAAUCCCCG